rnacentral:lncRNA from 1 species
GCUGAUUCGUUUUUUUUUUAAAUUGUGUUGUAGCUCGAUGGACCGUGCUUGGAUGUACGUGAAAGGAAUAUGCCUGAGAGGCAAUAAUAAAAUAGUUAUUAUCUUAUUCCAUAUUUAUAAUAGAUGUUUAUUUCUCAUGCUAAAAUUGUAUUAACCGGAAACGUUAAUGCAUGUGUGUCUAAUAAACUAACAACGGUUCCUAGUGAUGCCUCUCAUUUAACUAGCUUGUUGAUUAACAGAUGAUCAAGGUUUCCUGAUCAUGAACAUUGGAUGUUGUUAAUAACAGGGUCACGUCAUUAGGAGAAUGAUGUGAUGAACACACACCCAAAGUAGGUAUAGCAAUACGAUCAAGUCUUUAAGUUUAAAUUGCUAUAUCAAACACAUACGAAGUAGCCCUAAUCCUU